rnacentral:rRNA from 1 species
UACGUAGGGGGCAAGCGUUGUCCGGAUUUAUUGGGCGUAAAGAGCGUGUAGGCGGCUAGGUAGGUGGGUUGUGAAAACUGGAGGCUCAACCUCCAGACGUCGAUGGAAACCGUCUGGCUAGAGUCCGGAAGAGGAGAGUGGAAUUCCUGGUGUAGCGGUGAAAUGCGCAGAUAUCAGGAAGAACACCCGUGGCGAAAGCGGCUCUCUGGGACGGUACUGACGCUGAGACGCGAAAGCGUGGGGAGCGAACAGG